UUAAAAUCAAUGGAGGCACAACUCAGUGAAGCCCUUUAGUCCAGUGGGAACAAGUACAAAAACAACUCAGACUCAACGGAAGGCAUAUAGGCUGCAGCUGUAACCAAGAAGCUUGAAGAAGAACUCCUGAAAUGAGAUGCCCUUGUUGAGUAUCCCAAUGCCUGUUUUUGAGCGGAACACCUAAAAUGGAGUAUGUGAGAGAGGAAGGAGAGGGAAGGGGGCGUUUAUGAGGCUGUGAGAGGGGCAAUCUGGUAAACUAUCCAAGUGGAGGCGAUUUUGAGACCCUCCAUUUGUGGAUGCUAUUAGUGUAUAGACCGCAGUAAGACGUUUCUUGUUGCAGCUGACAUGGAACCGUCAAAGAUGGAUAUCUAUAAGGCUCGAGCUGAAGUGGCUUCUACCAAAGGAACUGAUGUAAAUAUGCAGGAUGCUCCUGUGACUCAGAAUGGUACUCAAGAGAGAGGAGAUUAUCCUGCUUAGAUGGAAGCAGAUGCCAAGGGCACUCAACUUCUAGCCAUAGAUGUUGCUGCAGUACAAGAUUUCUAAGCUCUUAGAAGAACUUUGAACCGAUUUGGCAUUAGCAAUUGCAAUCGCCUUUCUCCUGCUGCCACCUGUGGUAUACGUGCCACCAUUUCCACGUGCCAGAAAAUGGUCGAGUGUAGAUGGAGAGGAUGACAUUUUAGAAAUCGAUUUGCUAGGACCAAGUCUUGAUUACCUCUUUGUCUAUUGACUUGUGUGGAGGAAAAUUCAAGGGCAGGUGCAACGGGUUUGGUUCUGAAGUAUAUGUUAGUGCUGUCUAGCAGAUCAACACAAGUAGAAACUUUAGAUAAGUUCUGAAAUCACGACGUGGUGGUUGCAAACAGAACACUAGAAGCAGCCCUCAAGGAUACCGAUUUGUUUGGAGUAAUAUGUGUCGAAGAGAUCAAGCUGAUAUGAGGUGUGAUCUCACUUUCCUCCAACAUCAGAUGCCAGUUCGGGUUUAUAUAUGAAGUGUCUUAGAUUAUGCUUUAUUGUAUCUGAAAUGGAUUAGUGUUUCGCAAUUUUGGUGCAUAUAAACUUGUUUUGAU
rnacentral:lncRNA from 1 species